AUGAAUUGAUUAUAAUUUGACCGAAUUAAAAUAAAUUGAUUAUAAUUUGACCGGCUCUCUCUCUCCGAAUUUAACAUAGAGUCCUCACUUUCAACCGCUUGGGUCUGUGUUGGGUUAAAAAUAAAAAAUAUGUGAUUGUACUUGAGGGGGAGGGGAGUGUUGGGAGUGUUUGGUUUUCGAAGUAAAAGGGCAAGUUGUAAUAU
rnacentral:misc_RNA from 1 species